rnacentral:rRNA from 1 species
UGGGGAAUUUUGCACAAUGGGGGAAACCCUGAUGCAGCGACGCCGCGUGAUUUAGAAGGCCUUCGGGUUGUAAAAAUCUUUUUUACGGGAUGAAAAUGACAGUACCGUAAGAAUAAGGUCCGGCUAAAUACGUGCCAGCAGCCGCGGUAAUACGUAUGGACCGAGCGUUGUCCGGAAUCAUUGGGCGUAAAGGGUACGUAGGCGGCCUAGUAAGUUAGUAGUGAAAUAAUAUAGCUCAACUAUAUAAAGCUUUUAAAACUGCUAGGCUUGAGAGAUGGAAGGGAAAGUGGAAUUCCUAGUGUAGCGGUGAAAUGCGCAGAUAUUAGGAAGAAUACCGGUGGCGAAGGCGACUUUCUGGUCAUCAUCUGACGCUGAGGUACGAAAGCGUGGGUAGCAAACAGG